UGCUGCUAGUAUAUGUUUAUGUUUGGGGA
rnacentral:piRNA from 1 species